GAGUUUGAUCAUGGCUCAGGACGAACGCUGGCGGCGUGCCUAACACAUGCAAGUCGAGCGAUGAAACCCUUCGGGGUUGAUUAGCGGCGGACGGGUGAGUAACACGUGGGUAACCUACCUCAUAGAGGGGGAUAGCCUCCCGAAAGGGAGAUUAAUACCGCAUAACAUAUUUUGGUCGCAUGAUUGAAAUAUCAAAGGAGUAAUCCGCUAUGAGAUGGACCCGCGGCGCAUUAGCUAGUUGGUGAAGUAACGGCUCACCAAGGCGACGAUGCGUAGCCGACCUGAGAGGGUGAUCGGCCACAUUGGAACUGAGACACGGUCCAGACUCCUACGGGAGGCAGCAGUGGGGAAUAUUGCGCAAUGGGGGAAACCCUGACGCAGCAACGCCGCGUGAAUGAUGAAGGCCUUAGGGUUGUAAAGUUCUGUCUUCUGGGACGAUAAUGACGGUACCAGAGGAGGAAGCCACGGCUAACUACGUGCCAGCAGCCGCGGUA
rnacentral:rRNA from 1 species